CAUGCCUUACACAUGCAAGUCGAACGGCAGCGCGGGGCAACCUGGCGGCGAGUGGCGAACGGGUGAGUAAUAUAUCGGAACGUACCCUGGAGUGGGGGAUAACGUAGCGAAAGUUACGCUAAUACCGCAUACGAUCCAAGGAUGAAAGCAGGGGACCGCAAGGCCUUGUGCUCCUGGAGCGGCCGAUAUCUGAUUAGCUAGUUGGUGGGGUAAAGGCCUACCAAGGCAACGAUCAGUAGCUGGUCUGAGAGGACGACCAGCCACACUGGAACUGAGACACGGUCCAGACUCCUACGGGAGGCAGCAGUGGGGAAUUUUGGACAAUGGGGGCAACCCUGAUCCAGCAAUGCCGCGUGAGUGAAGAAGGCCUUCGGGUUGUAAAGCUCUUUUGUCAGGGAAGAAACGGCUGUGGCUAAUAUCCACGGCUAAUGACGGUACCUGAAGAAUAAGCACCGGCUAACUACGUGCCAGCAGCCGCGGUAAUACGUAGGGUGCAAGCGUUAAUCGGAAUUACUGGGCGUAAAGCGUGCGCAGGCGGUUUUGUAAGUCUGACGUGAAAUCCCCGGGCUUAACCUGGGAAUUGCGUUGGAGACUGCAAGGCUGGAAUCUGGCAGAGGGGGGUAGAAUUCCACGUGUAGCAGUGAAAUGCGUAGAUAUGUGGAGGAACACCGAUGGCGAAGGCAGCCCCCUGGGCUAAGAUUGACGCUCAUGCACGAAAGCGUGGGGAGCAAACAGGAUUAGAUACCCUGGUAGUCCACGCCCUAAACGAUGUCUACUAGUUGUCGGGUCUUAAUUGACUUGGUAACGCAGCUAACGCGUGAAGUAGACCGCAUGGG
rnacentral:rRNA from 1 species